rnacentral:ncRNA from 2 species
GCAAUCCUUUGUGACUGACGGAAAAAGCAGAGUACUGCGUGGGAGCAGAGGAUAAUAUAAAGAAAGGCUUUUCCUUUCUGCCGACCGUCUGGGCUCAGUUG